AUUGAACGCUGGCGGCAGGCCUAACACAUGCAAGUCGAGCGGAAGCACGGUACUAGCUCGCGGAUACAGCGGGCGAGGGGCGGGCAAGUGAGGGGUAUAUCGCAAGCUGCUGUGUCGAACGUGCUGAAGCGGGGGAAAAUACGGUAAAAGCGCAGACGGAGUACGGGGGGAAGCAUGGGACCUUCGGACAUUAGGUGAGUCAAGGAGGCGAUGUCGGGUUAGCUAGUUGGCGGGGUAAAGGCCCACCAAGCCGACGAUCCGUAGCUGGUCUGAGAGGAUGAUCAGCCACACUGGAACUGAGACACGGUCCAGACUCCUACGGGAGGCAGCAGUGGGGAAUAUUGGACAAUGGGCGCAAGCCUGAUCCAGCCAUACCGCGUGGGUGAAGAAGGCCUUCGGGUUGUAAAGCCCUUUUGUUUGGAAAGAAGAGCAGCAGGUUAAUACCCCGCUGUUCUGACGGUACCCAAAGAAUAAGCACCGGCUAACUUCGUG
rnacentral:rRNA from 1 species